UACAGCCACAUCACGUUGAAACACGAGUUCUUGUACGAUCACCGAAGUUAAGCAACAUCGGGCCUGGUCAGUACCUAGUUAGGUGACCGUUUGCGAAUACUAGGUGCUAUAU